rnacentral:lncRNA from 1 species
CACAAGAAGGAAAUAGCUCAUUCAUCAUAGAGAGAUGAUCCAUGGAGGGUGCCACAAACAUGAUGCACAACCGCUAAGAAAGGAAAGCUUCCACAAGGUGAUACUGUACCAUCACUCUUCAACCAAGGUAACAUCUUAAGGUACUUGACUAUCACUUUUAUAAGCUUCUCCUUGGUUCUGGCGUUCAUAUAAAUAAAAGAGACAAACAUGUAUGAUUUACAACUCUAGAUUAACCAACCCAACUGAUUCAACAUGUUUAGUCCUUUAACCCUUGUUCUUAGUACUACCUCCAUGAUCCCACACUCCUAAUCAUAUGAGCUAAAAUGUUACACAUUCAAUCAUUGAGAGAUAUAAAGGAAAAAGACAUAUACAUAGAUAGAUUAUCUUUCCAUAAGGUUGAGCGAUCUGAUCUGACAAAUGUUAUAAGUGCUACACUCAUGAACUUAUCAUCCAUCAACUUUAUCUUGCUCACUAUGCUUAGGGUUAGAGAAGAACAAAUACACUUUAGGUUCUGUUGGUGUUUUCCACCAACAGGACCCAUGCACUUGAUCUCUGCCUUGUCUCUAUGAGCAGGUACACUUCGAGCAAAACACGGAGUAGUUUUAUAACUCUCAGACUCUACCAAGUGAAGGACCUGGAUCUACGAGCACAAACACACUGAGCAGGAUACUGCCAACGCCGCACUUCGAACUGCUGGGCAAACGAAGAACAUGGGUGACACCGUAUCACGAGGUGCAGACGUCAAGGUCCGCACCUGAAUCAAAUGACGCACCUGAAGAAUGAACACGGUGAGAAGUCUAGUUAAGAAGACUUAAAACGUUGAACCCUCGCCGAAAGAUAAGAUCGGUAGUUAUCCAUAUUUAUCCUUUCUGCAUUCCCUUUCCUCUUUAAUUAUUUACUUUCCUUAAAUAGAUUAUUAGUUAAUCAUGCUAUCUUGAAAAGAAAACAAAAAUGUUAAAAAAUACUAAGCCCUAUGUAAGUAUACGUGUGGCAUAAAACCCAUAAGUACCUUCACUAUGGUGGCAUAAAAAUAAAAUAAAUAUUUCUUUUCUGCUUUCUAAAAUAAAAAUAUAAAACAGGGAGUAAUAUUUAUUGAGGAAGCUCAACAUGAUGAAGGCUAGAUAUUUAUGCUAACACUUAAUUAGUUCCACAAGCUUUGUUGUCUAUUUGAGCUCCACAGGAUUUAAGAAUAAAGGAGACUAGCAGACGGAGGACAUUCUAAUCACUGUGAGAAUGCUGCUGACUCUCAAAUACACCUCUGCCACCUGCUAGCUACAUCAAGGGAAAUUACGUCAAAAUUCAGCUUGGGGGAGAGCACCCCCAUUUAUCCCGGUAAGUAUUUCUAUCUAUCUAUCUUUAUACUUAUACUUAUUAAAAUAUAGAUAUACAUAACUAUGAAAAACCAAAUAAAGAUUUUGUGCUUAUAUAUAUAUCUUUUGCUUAGUGUGUCUAAUAAAUAAAUAAAGUGGCUAUGCUAAUCUGAAUCUUAAUAAUAAAACUCUAGCAUGGAUAUGAUGAAUAGUUUCUCUGCCUAAUUUGCAAAUUUAAAGUUCUCUCUCAAGUUUAGACAUAACUGUUAUAAUUUAAAGCUUGCUCUAGAUCUAAACUUGUGGGAUGAAAACUUGAUCUGAAAUCUAAGUUGUUAACGGAUAUGAUAUGGGAAGGUUGAGCUGCUGUUUAUCUAUUCCUAGAGAUGCUAGAAUUCUGGAGAAUUUUAUCUUUGAAAAAUCAUUAAAAUAUUGCAUGAUGAGUUUCUGUAUGAUGAGAGUUUAAAUUCCUACCACAGCCAUAUAUACAUGCUUGCUAGACUUUGAGCGACACAUUUAUGAUUUACUGCUUAUGAGCAUUGAGUGUGGUCAAGCUGUGUAGACCCUUAGGAGCUUGUCAUGUGGUUAAAUAAAGAUUCACUUGCACGUUCACUCAUAUAUGCUACUUCUACUCCGGAAGUACCAUCCACAUAUAUCCAUCCAUGUCCAUCUCCGGAACCACCCAAAAAUAUUAUACUCCUAAUCCGCGAGAGAAUAGCCAAAAAUGUUUCUGUUUUCCCUUGUGAAAUAAAUGCUCAGGUUAUCUUGCUACUACCACUUGCUCUAUUAUCUCAAGAGAUGAGUGCUCUGAAAAAAGAAAAGAGAAGAAAAGAAAAAAAAUAAAUAAACGAGGAAAUAAAAAGGGGCAAGUGCUUGGAACCUCGAAAAAAAAGAAAAAAGAGUGAGACGAGAGGUAAAAAUGGACAAGUGUCCGACAGUAGAAUUAGGGGUACAGGAUACCCACCUGAGAGGAAAGAAAAAUGAAAGAUAGAGCAUCUCAUUCUCCUCAUAAAGUUUCAAAAAGCAAGGAAGGUAUGUAUCCCCUCAAAAGAGCAAAAGUAGAAUUAGACUUUCACCAUUGUUAUCACCAUCAUCACCAUACACCAUUCAUUCGCCACACAUGCACAUCUUGAUUUGACUUAGUGACUUGUUUCUCUGGAUCCAUGGUUUGACUAUGCAAUAAAUGUCUUGUAAGUAUGUAUUAGCUGUCUCCCACCUAUGAGCUCCAGAUAUUAAAGCCUUAUUAGAGUAGGGUGAGAGAGAAGGCAAUGUCACUAUGCCUUAUACCACAAAUACCAUAUAUCUUGAGAGAAGGCAUAUACCAUCACUGCCUUGGUAAGGAUCCAGAAAUACCACAAAAGAGAGAUUUAGAGAGUCAUACAAGGAAUCUCUGAGUUUUAUUUAAAAAUCUGGAAAAAACUCCAGAGCUAUAGCUAAUCAAGAAUAAGAGACAUGACACUUGGCUAGACUGUUCUAUCUUUUAACUACUCAAGACAUAAGUGAAGGUUACAAGUCCCAUGGUGAAAGGUAAAGUAAGUAAGUUUUAGUUCUUGACAGUUUACUCUAACUCACAGAUGAGAUCUUAUUUAAAAGCAUGUGUACCGUUAAAUUUUUAAGAUAUUGCAACAACUUCUGAUCCAUUGCUGAGUCUAUCCUUGCUCAGGGACGAGCAAGAGGUAAGCAUGGGGGAGUUUGUUGAUGGUCCUUAAGUAUCAAAUUUAAUUAUAAAAUAAACAAAGAAAAGGAUCCAAAUGAAAUCAACAUCUAGACUUAGGGUUUUAUCUGACAGAAUUCUACGAGUUUUGGUGUUUGUCUAUUUCUGCAGGGGGUUAUCAGGAAAUAUGAAAGAAAGGCCCACACGUCGGGUUUACAUAGAGAUAUUAACAUGCCGCGCAAUUUUCUACCAUCUAGAAGACUCCAGAAGCCACGGGAACGAACGGGAGGCCGAUCGGGCCCGGGGGCAAGGCGCCCGCCCAAGUCUCUUGGGUGCCCGCCCAGCUAUAGUAACCAAUCAGCUUCAACUUCGCGGAUUAUGCUCCACCAACCUAAAUGAUCAAGAAUAACCGUUCAAUCAAUGUCGGUUUGAUCCGACGGCCCAGGUUCACUUGAGGGGACUAUAUAACCAGACCCCCUGGCCCCUGGAGGAGGCACCCCUUGAUCAUUAUUCAUUAUUCAUAGACAGAGCAAAAGCUAGGGUUUAGAGAUGAGAGCUCUCCUCUCUUCUCUAAACUAGAGUAGAUCUAGAUAGUAGCGAGAUGGAGAGCGAAGGAGGAUUAGAGGAGAGGCCGGCCUGUCGGUUCUUCCUCCGGUUGUACUUCGUCAUGAUCAAGCUCUAAUCAAGCUUCCUCAUGGGAUGACUCUGGUAAUCUACUUCUAAUUCAUUAUGCAAUUACUAAUUAUGUAUGUUCUGGUUCACAACUCUUUUGAGUACUUUAAUCUAUAGGACGCUAUAGGUGAGAGUUGUAGUAUUGGUGCAAGCGUGGUGCUUAGACCUAGAUUACUUGUGGAUAUCCCCUGUCUAGCUGGAUCGUGUGGUAGGCCACGUAGGUGACAGUUACGUUGGUCCUCUGUAGUCCACCUCUCGUUAGCAGGACGGGUAGGGUUUAUCGGCCUAAGGAUAAGCAUCCUUUGUGGUGUACUCUUAUCACGUGGUUCGUCCUAGACAUAGACAUACCCCUUUGAAGUAGAGAAACCAUAGUUAUCCUCUCUAUUCUGCUACCAUCACCCAUAUACUAGAAUUGCUCUAUUCUCUAUACCCAUAUUAUCACUCACUAUUAUCUUACCUUUAAUAUUGUUCUUAUUCGAUUCUACCAUCUUUCCUAUUUACACCUAUUUACUUAUCUUGGUUAGGUUAGAGCGUAGAUCAGUUCUCCCGUUUCCCUGUGGAUACGAUAAAACCUUUAACCGGGUAAAAGCUUCAACGGUAUCCGUGCGCUUGCGGAUCAUCUGUGUGUGUAUAAAUACCAUAGUACACUCUAGUGCCAUGCUGGGGAUGACAACCUAGUAUUCAAGUGGUGUUAGCAAGUGUCAACAGCGGGCGCGAUUCUGGCGAGAGAGUGAGUGGACGGAGAGAGUGGACGCGUCCACUGCAUCCGGGGCGUUGUCGUGGAGGUCAUGCGCGCGCUAGGAGCUGACGAGCGGGGCCAGGAGUGGCGUACGGGCGCCAAAUGUCGACGGAGUUCUGUCGCCGGUCGGCCACGUCGACGAGCUCGGCUCCGAUUCAGAGAAAACACUGAUGGUCUGACAGAGCAACUUCGACGGUGAUUAUCUCCCAAACCAGAGCGAAUUAGGAGAUGAUGCAGUUGACAAAGUUGGAGUUCCAAUCGAGUUCUACAAUAUUGUAAACUAGAUCAAAAGCCAGAUCGGCUUGGAUUGAGAGAUAUAGAGUUUUCAAAACCGAUCGAGCAAACUGUUAAAGCCAGGACUUAGCCAAAAUCGACUAAGUGCCAAAACAGCACCCAAAUCUGCCUUGCAAGCACCUUUUGGACAAGUUGUGAUCAUUUUCAUGAGAUGGCCAUAAAACAACUUUUGUUCCUUAUAAAAUUUGCUACAGCUUUGCCCUAGAAAGUUUUGACAUGCAAACAUUUUAUGAAACACUUUUUAAAAGCCUAAGAAAAAGAGCUUUCUAGGGCCUAUUUGUGUAAGCAUGACUUAAGUGAUUAUUUUGGAGAAGUGAUCAACAUGAAUAUUGUUCCCAAGGUUAAGUUAAGCAUGGAUAAACUAUUUAACAAGGCAUAAAGCACAAACACAAGCAUGGUUCACUCAAACAUAAGUAUAGGAAACCUAUUUAAGCAAUUUAAAUCAUAUUUUUGCAUAGAAAGGUAUGACUCAAGGUAGAUCAUGAUCAUGACAUGCUUGAGUAGAUGAUGAUGCUUAUCCUAUGCAUAUGAGUUGUGCAACCAUAACACUGGGGUGUUACAGCCCUCCCCCCUUACAAAAAUCUCGUCCCGAGAUUUGAAAGCUUACUGAUUUUCGAAGAAGGUUUUGUAAACUUCUUUUAAAUAAUCCUCCAUUUCCCAAGUGGCAUCUUCUUCCCCAUGGUUACUACACAACACCUUGUAGAACUUAACCACACGAUUACGAGUCACCCGUUCCUUGCGGUCAAGAACCGCUACAGGUUUUUCUUCAUACAUCAAGUCUGACUUCAACUUGAUAUCCCGAACUUCCACUCGUUCCUCCGGAACACGAAGGCACUUUUUCAAUUGUGAUACGUGGAAGACAGGGAAAAUAGCCCAAAGCUCAACUGGUACUCGAACUUUAUACGCCACAUUCCCUUUCCUUUCGAGAAUCCGAUAAGGUCCCACAUAACGAGGUGCAAGCUUUCGCUUGACUCCGAACCUUUGUACACCCUUCAUGGGAGACACCUUGAUAUACACAUGGUCACCAACUGAAAACUCAAUCGGUUUCCUUCUUUUGUCGGCAUAACUUUUCUGAUGAGCUUGAGCAGCUUCCAGAUGUUGCUGGAUGGUACGGACUUGCUGCUCUGCUCCGUUCACGAAAUCGAUGCCAUAAUACCUUCGCUCUCCGGCUUCUACCCAAUUCAAUGGGGUUCGACACUUUCGACCAUACAGGGCCUCAAAUGGAGCCAUCUUGAUACUCUCCUGAUAACUAUUGUUGUAGGAGAACUCAGCUAACGGCAACCACAAGAACCCUUUGAAGAGAGAGCACAUGCCCUCAACAUGUCUUCUAAGAUUUGGUUAACACGUUCAGUUUGACCUGCUGUUUGGGGAUGAUAAGCAGAGCUACGGACUAAAUGAGUACCAAUCUGCUCAUGCAGAUACUCCCAAAAACGAGCAGUGAACUGUGGUCCACGAUCUGAUAUGAUAGUUCGAGGCACACCAUACUAACGAACAAUGUGCUCGAAGUACAACUCCGCAUAUUGAUGUGGACGAUAGUUAGUUCGAACUGGAAUGAAACGAGCAACCUUGGUCAAACGAUCUACAAUCACCCAGAUGGAGUCGUAACCCUUAAUAGAAGUUGGGAGUCCAACGAUGAAAUCCAUGCUGACUUCUUCCCAUUUCCAACCAGGAAUUGACAAGGGUUGAAGUAAACCAGCUUUCAUGUGAACAGCCUUCACACGACAACAAUUGUCACAACGAGCGACAAAAGCAGCAAUCUCCUUUUUCAUCUUUGUCCACCAAAACAGAGGUUUCAAAUCCUGAUACAUCUUGCUACUACCAGGAUGAAUAGACAAUUUGGAUGAACGUGCUUCAGAUAAAAUCUGAUUUCGCAGCUCACGGUCUUUUGGGACCACAAGUCGAUCCUUGAACCAAAGAAUUCCAUUCUCAUCAACCCGAAAAUGCUUGGUUUCUUCUUCCUUCAUUAUCCUCUUUAUAUGAUGGAUACCUACAUCUGUCUGCUGCAAUUCGAUGACUCGAUUGCAAAGGGUACUCUCCAGAGAAAUCUGGUUGAGCACAAGUGGAUGCAUAAGAUGUGACAACAACGGAUCUUCCACUUGGAUAGAGUGGCAGUGCGCUUUCCGACUCAAAGCAUCCGCAACUACGUUUGCCUUGCCCGGAUGAUAGUGCACUUGUAGAUUAUAAUCUUUAAUCAACUCAAGCCACCUUCGUUGCCGCAUGUUUAGUUCAGGUUGAGUGAAGAUAUACUUGAGGCUCUUAUGAUCAGUGUAGAUAUUGCACAGAUUACCCAGCAAAUAAUGCCUCUAGAUUUUCAAAGCAUGAACAACUGCUGCCAAUUCUAAGUCAUGAGUAGGGUAAUUGACCUCAUGCUUUCGAAGUUGGCGUGAGGCAUACGCGAUAAUGCGACCUUCCUGCAUCAACACACAGCCCAAACCAAUACCCGACGCGUCGCAGAAGACAUCGAAGGGCUUCUCAAUAUCAGGCUGAGCUAGGACAGGAGCUGAUGUCAGCAAUGUCCUCAACUUGUGGAAUGCCUCUUCACACUCAGGCGUCCACACAAACUUCUCAUCUUUCUGAAGUAGACGAGUCGUAGGCAUGGAUAUUUUUGAAAAUUCGGGAAUGAAUCGACGAUUAUAUCCAGCCAGACCGAUAAAACUCCGAACCUCGUGUACCGAAGUUGGAACUUUCCAAUCCAGCACUUCUUGCACCGUAGUUGGAUCCACUGAUAUGCCUUCUUCAGAUAAGACAUGGCCCAAGAAAGGUACUUUCGUUAGCCAAAACUCGCAUUUGCUGAAUUUUGCAUAAAGCUGAUGCUCAUGCAAACGCGACAACACCACACGCAGAUGCUCUACAUGCUCCUCUUCAUUGCAAGAAUAUACCAAGAUAUCAUCAAUGAAGACCACCACAAACUUGUCCAAUUCGGGCAUGAACACCGAAUUCAUGAGAUACAUGAAGUGAGUAGGUGCAUUCGUAACACCGAAGGACAUGACGAGAUACUCAUACAACCCAUACCUCAUCGAGAAAGCUAUCUUAUGUACAUCUUCAGGACGGAUCUUGAUCUGAUGGUACCCAGAUCACAAAUCAAUCUUGGAGAAUACCUUGGCUUUAGACAACUGAUCAAACAAGAUAUCAAUGCGAGGAAGAGGGUAUUUAUUAUUGAUGGUCACCGCAUUUAGGGGACGAUAGUCCACACACAUGCGCAAGGACUGAUCCUUCUUCUUCACAAAGAUAGCCGGACAACCCCAAGGAGAAGAACUAGGACGGAUAAGACCCUUCUUCAACAACUCAUUCAGUUGGGUCUUAAGCUCAGGUAGCUCAUUGGGUGGCAUUCUAUAAGGUCUUCUAGAGAUAGGAGCGGUACCUGGAAUCAACUCAAUUUUGAACUCCACAUCCCGAUCUGGAGGAAGCACGGGUAAAUCAUCAGGAAAUACAUCCAGGAACUCACACACCACUGGAAUAUCCUGGAUGGCGUUAGCUGUAACUGCAUUCACAGUGCUACGGAUAUGGAUAUCUCGAGGAAGUUGCUCUAAGAAUGCUUCCCUGGUACUUGGGUCUCUCAACAUCACUACACGAGUGGUGGUGUCGAUAAGAACUAUGUUACCACUCAUCCAAUUCAUACCCAGAAUUACAUCUAUGCCCACACCGGGUAAGACAACCAGAUCAGCAAGAAACUCACGGCCUCCAAUUUCCAGAGUUGCCCCAAAAACCACUUGAUUGGUAGAAAUAUCAUUUCUAGCAGCACUAAUGCAAUAACUACCCUUAUCAAGUGUACUUGCUUUGAGAUUAUGCUUAGACACAAAGUCUGAACUCACAAAAGAAUGCGAUGCUCCUGAAUCAAAAAGCACAAGUGCAUCACAUUGGUUAACCAGAAACUUACCAGCCGUGACUACGUCACUAACAGGGAUUGCCUCCACGGUCGUGUAGUGAACACACCCCUGGCGGACGUUCCCUUGGUUGACCUUCUUUGGCGGGUAAGGACAGUUGCUCUGCCAAUGCCCGAUCUGAUUGCAGUUCCAGCAUGGACUUUUGGCAGGUGGAGUCUUGGCAUAGUUGGGACCCGUGUUGCCCCUAGGAAGAGCAAUAGAGUACCCCUUGUGGAAACCCGUCUUCGACUGAUUCUUCUUCACCGGAGGGCGAUACUGCUGGUUAGGCGUUGGAGCACGGUACGGUGGCUUAGCCACCACUGGAGCCUUGGACUGAGAUGACCCUGCCCUGGCCUCAAAAGCCCUCUUGUGAGUCUUGGUUGCCGAGUUCACAGUGUUAUAGUUCCCUUAGGUCAGAGCAUCACUAACAAACUCAUUAAAAGUUGCACACUUGGUGCGGCCCAUAGUUUUCAGCAACUUGGGGCCCAAACCCCGCUUGAAACUAGCAAUCUUUUUCGCCUCAGUGUUCACAAACUCAGGAGCAUACCUAGACAAAUGAUUCAUGUUUGCACGCUAUUCUGCACCUUGGGUGCCACGAGACAUCUGUAAAGACACAGUCAGUGAGCAAUGAUGAUGACAAGAAUUGCUGCAGAAGAACUUAUAUUUAUGCCUGAAAGUAUUCGAGAGAAUAGCUUUAUAGAAGGGCACAAUAUUUCAAUUCCACAAAACAACAUCACCAAUCCAACACAUGACAAAGAUAUCCGCAAUAUGCACCACAACGGAAAACAUCGUCACAACUUAACAAACAUGUUAAGGUUACACAUUGGGUCCAUAAAGUUAUUACACCAUCACAGAACAUGCCAUGAGUUAUGUCAAAGUUCGGGAUACAACAUGGGUACAAAAGCACACGGCUGACUGGCAUACUACAAAAGAUCCUCACAUAACACUACCCACUACUCCCUACACUCCAGGCUCGUCGUCCGAGUCAGCGUCGAAGAUCGCCUCUCCAUCCUCGUCGCUAACUAGCUCAAGCUUCUCGUCCUCCAUGUCCUCGUGCAAGGGUGGUGCAGUCGGUGCUGGUCCAUCGACCUCCAUACCAUCAUCAUCGGCCACUAUCACCUGAGGUCCCACCUCUGGAUACAUGGGUAUAGGGCGAGGAAUAGGGUGUAGCAAGUUGUUGAGACGGUAAAUCUCCACAAGACCAGCCUCAAUCUGAUCCUGCAGAUAGUUCUCCCGCUCAAGAGACUAAACCCGGUGCAUCUCCCAUGCCCGGCGCCUGUUCUCCGACACGCGGAGUGUAGUGUCCCUCUCACGAGUGAUCUGCACCAAGCGCUCCUGCUCUGUCUCCUUCUCUCUAGCUAACUGACCCAUCUAAUCCUGCUUAUGAUCUCUCUCUAAUGGCCUUCACCCACUACUGCCUACGAUACUCCGCAAUGUCUUCCCAGUCAUUGCGGUCCUUCUGAGCUUGCUCCAGAAGUCUAGCUUGCUUGUGAAACUUGCGAGCACGCUUUUGAGCCUUUCGUUGCAUCUCCUGAGCCUAGCAAACAGCCACCAUCACCUGUGCAUAGGUGUCCUCUCGCUGACUGAUCAGCUUGAGCACAGCCAUCAUAGCACUCAUAGCAGGACUAGAACUCUCAGCUCUCUCACCCCUGCCUCGAACCAAAGCACAACCAUCAGCCUGUUUCCACUCCGCUGCUGCGGGGUCAGUACGGGGAAAGGAGGCCGCUGGCCCUCCUGUCAGUUCAUCGCUACACCUCUGACAGAUAUCGAGUAGGAUAGUCUGGGCUGCAACCUGAGUUGCUUCCCAAGGAGUCUGCCCAUCUGAGCUACAGGUCCACCCUGUCCAUGCAGGCAUGCCCCCAAGCGGAGGGACAACCCCCUGCACAGUAAACCACUAAAACUCUCCUGUCUUCUCCAACUCCCACCUAGAAUACUGAGGUGGCUCAGUAUACCCCACAGACUGAAGCACUCUCCAGAGUAAGGUAGGAGUGCCAAACUCGCUCAAGAAAGUGUCACUGGGACGGGGUGAAGCGGGCGCGUCCAUCUGUGGAAAGGAAUAGGAAUGCUAUGGGUGAAAGAGGAUUAGUUUAAGCAACAUCUAUUUAAUUAAAAGGGACAACAUUGUAAGGGAAGGAGUAGACAGAAUGUAUGUAUGAAUGCGACAUGAUGCAUGCGCGAACCGUACGUCCUCACAAACUUAGAAAAUUAAUAUUCUAACGGAUAUACGGUGGCAUACAUUCGUCUCUCGAUACGAUAACUAGCGAUUUACACGUGUGCUGUUAGAGUACCUGCAGAAAACUUCAUUUCAGCCCAACAGUUCCCAAAAUAUCACUCAAGAAAGCAGUAAACUAAGUGCACAUUGCUUGGACAUGCCCAUCAUGCACAAACAAUGACAGCACAGCUACCCGAGAAAUUAAAUGCUCCCCAAUUAAGUUUCUUUCGUGGUUCCAUGGUUUUGACAUGUGACCACUCCAGAAAACCACCGCGAACACUCCCCUAGACCGCCGGUUGGACGAUCAUGCUCUCACAGCUCACACUUACUAGAGCGUAGGUGCGACGUUGCAUAAUUUAAAUCUAGCGACAUAUGUGGCUAAUUCACAUAUGAAGGCUACCUCCACCAUUAGACCACAGGGUAGCAUAGUGCGGUCAUCACACAUCCAAACCUGAGUACUGCCGGAGAUGCAUAAAUAAAACCCCCCAAGUCAGUACUUAAAUAGCCACCUAUAGUCCUUAUGUGGGCAAGGAGGAUUCGACCACUGGCAUAACUUAAAUAUUGAUUUGCACCAUUUUCUUUAAAAACUCUUUUGUUUUUAAAUACACAAACGCUGCAUUUAUAAUGCUGAACUUGCUCCGAUGCCAGCUGUCAAGUGUAGAAACGAUCGACAAGGAUUCAAGUUUCAAAACUUGAGCCCAUAUAAUCCCGGUAGUCAAUUGAAAUCACGAAGGACUUCGAACCAACUUCCAACAAACCAAGAUCGUAUUAAUUCAGCACAACACAGUGAAUGUUCCAUAGUCAUUCAUUGCCGUCGAAGCGGUACCACAUCGGAGUUAUUAAGUUAUUACAACACAUGUUCGAAGUAGCGGAAGCAAAAUAAUUACACACACACUUUCCAAAGUUCAGUUCACAUGUUCUUGUUAUUGCCAGAGUCUACCCCAUCCUUCCAAAAGCAACAGGGACAAGUUUGUUAGAGAACCGUGCCCAACGGUUAGUCCUCAUCCCCAGCGGGAUGGAGACAGGUCUUGCAGAAGCCGUCAUACAAGAUGUCAUCUGCAAGAGGUGGGAAUAAAGCUUAAGUAUGAGAUUGUACUCAGCUAGACUUACCCGUCUAGUAAGACAUAAAAGACACCAAGGAUCAUGCCAGGCUAAUAUCAUGUAGAGCUGGUUGACUCAACAUUUGCCAAAUGCUUACAUUAUGACUAAGUUAUUGUGAGAGCAUCAUAUUUAUUCAUCAUCAGCCUACCACUAGAUUAGCACCUGUACUAAAGCACUUCACUUGAUUAUUACAAGCAAUAAUAAUCAUAUCAAGUUCAUCAUAUGUUCUUCCUUGCUAUCAUCAUUAUCAUGAACCAAGUUCAUUAGUGAAUGCUACGUUUGCCGCUGCUCUGUCAAGUUCUCACUAACCGGGAGAGACGGCGAUUCGAAUCGAAUUCCUAUCCAGCUGGAGGGGUAUUCCCAUCACCCACCCAAGCUUCCCCUGCCGGAGAGCCAACGGGUCACCUUUGAUACGACUCCGGAAUCGCGGUUCUGAUAAGCGCCACACUCCUAGGGCUACCACUCUGCCAGGGAGGUCAGGAAUUUUAACUCACCUGCCUUUGGACUUACGCCAAUGGUCCCCCGCACACCGCACUUCCUCCGGUAGUGCGCACUUUAUACUUAUCGACCUUCCGGCCUGAGACAUAUUACUCGGCUUCACGGUCGGAACGAGUUAUCCGGCCAACUAAGUGUUAGACAUGCGUUCAACAUGACAAGAGGACGUACAACGGUCGGUCCUUAGCUGCCACAGACGGAGUUACUACAACCUUGCAAAACUCCGCCCGGCUUAAGUCAAUUUAAUCAGGUUCCAUCCACGAUAGCACAUAUAGACCAUCGUGAUCCGACACAACCCUAUAUCGCGCAGGUGACAGGAAAUCACCCGACUUCUACCGAUUAAGCAUGGCUAAGCUGCUACUCGAUCCUAACUCUAUAACCAAGGUGUGGUGAGUUAUCUGGACAAGGAUGGAGUAAAAUGCAGCAAAGGUUUCAUCACAACUCCUAUACUUAAUGCAGCAAUAGAUAUAACAUAUUAAGUAAACUUUCGAAAGUAAAGGGAGGCUUAGAAUGCUCCGGGGCUUGCCUUUCACGAACGAGGCUGGCUCGUGGUUCGGGCACUCAACUUCUUCUUCGGGCUCCUCGAGUCCAACUGGCUGGACCUCCACCUCCUGGCUGCCCUCCUGGCCUUCGGGGUUCGCUUGGAGCUCGUAGGAAGCGGUCGCGUCCGAUGCACCUAUUGCAUGCUCAACUAAUAAGAAGAUGUGCAUGAAAGAGGAUGAAUGCUUGACACAUAAAUAAACUCACUGGACACUCAUUUACGGAGUAAACUUCUAAGUUAACUUACAAGAAAACCACAUGAAUCAACAAACUAGGCAAGUCAACUUAUAACAGCAAGAACACAAAACAGAACAGCUCAGUAAACAGAUCAUAACUAUUGCUACAAAGGUCCAACACACUCAAGUGAGGACAUUCUGGAAAACUUAUAAAAUUGUCUACAAAUCAUCUUUUAACAUCACAACAUGAUUCAUAGGUUAACCAGGUCAUUUAAACCAAGUUCCAGGUUCUGUCCCAGAAAAACAGAGAACACCUAUUUAUGGAACCCCAACUUGGAACAGUUAUAACUUUUAAACUACUAGGCCAAAUGACCCCAAAUUUAAACCACAGCUAGUCCAUAAAGUUUACUACAACUUUGAUUUAAACAAGUCUCCCAGAAAAACCAAGUUAUCAACAAGUGAAGACUAUAUUACUCCCUUGCUGUCCAGAACAGCCUUUAACCCCUUGAAUUAAUUAUUUGAUGACAUAACCAAAACAUAAACAAUACCAACCACAUGACUUAUAAGCACAAGCAUAUCAUAAGACAACCAGAACAUCAGAUGAUAACCUCCAACCAUUUACUUAACAAGGCAUUUAUUAAUUAAAUUCUAGAAAGGAGCAUAAUUACAAGAUACUAGUCAAAGUGCUCAGAAAAAUCUACAAAAAUUACAGAAGCACAAGUAUAGCAUCAAGGCAUCACCAUAAAAAUUUCAGAGCAAUUGCACAUACCAAAUUAAAGAUAUGCAUUUAACAUGUGUCAAGGUGUGUCUUUCAUAAAUUCAGAAACAUGACUUAUAUGGUGUCAAACAAUAGAUUUCAGAUUAUUUACAUAUUAUGAAUGCCAUAAACAAGUUUACCACCCAAGUAGAACACCAGCAUAAGCACCAAUUAUUUUAUAUGAUUUAAUUAAGGAAACAAGCAAAAUCUCAAACAUAAAUUACAUAUCAAAGCUGCAGUACUCCAAAAAUCAUGAAAUAUUUAUCAUAGCCUUCUAGUACUACAUAGAGACUACCACAAACAUUUCAGAGCAAACUAAGCAGUAUAACAAAAGAUAUGAAUUUACGCAUGAAUAACAAGAUUAAAUCUUAAUAAAUAUUUUUCCCCAGAAAACAUGGUUCAUUUUAUAUUUUUGUUAAAAACUAGCCACCCAAGGAAUACCACAAAAUUGGUUUCACAAUUUUUGGAUCUCAGAAACAGGAGAUAUGAUUUUUGCAAGAAAGCCAAAAAUCAGGAUUUGAAUAAAAGAAAAGGAGGGAAGGGAGGUGACACUGGCAGCGGGCCCUGCAUGUCUGGGUCAUCUUCCCCACAGCCGAGGCGACUCUCGCCGGCGAUUUCUCCGCGACGGCGAGGUCUCCGGCCAAACCAAGGGCACCAACGUGACCCCCAGACCUUUGCGACUCGAUUGAUCCCCUUUUUCCCAUGGCGGAGCCACCGGAAGGGGCUCGCCGUCGAUCAUGGCGGCUCGGCGGAGGUGCUCGGCGUUACGCCGGAGCCCUCAGGCCGGUAGAGCGUGACCUAGGGUUUCCUACAGCACUAGCAGACUACGGCGAAGCUUCCUAGGUAAGCGGCUAGGCUUGAAACGUCGUGGAACACGCUGGCCACGAGAGCGCCCAUCUCCGGCGGAAACACGGCGGCGCUGCGCAUCGUGUCCGGCGACGGUGAGUGCGGUAGAGCGUCCACCAAGUGGCGCAAACGCUUGCUAGGAACCUAAGCAACCUCUAUGACCUAACCAGAGAAGACGAGCGGCUUCAAAGGGCUCGGCAUUGAGUUCGCCGGAGAAGAAGGUCACGGCGACCCGAUUUGGGGAAAGAAGGAAAUGGCGGCUCACCGGUGGAUUUCACGGCGAGAUGAUUGGUGGAGAAUGGAGAGCAGUUCACGGCGGAGCUAUGGGCGGAGUUUGGUGGACUGCGACGCAGCGAGGAGCGCACACGAGCUCGCCGGAGUGAGCUCGUGACGAUGAGCUCGCUGCGGGCGCGAUUCUGGCGAGAGAGUGAGUGGAAGAAGAGAGUGGACGCGUCCACUGCGUCCGGGGCGUCGCCGUGGAGGUCAUGCGCGCGCUGGGAGCUGACGAGCGGGGCCAGGAGCGGCGUACGGGCGCCAAAUGUCGACGGAGUUCUGUCGCCGGUCGGCCACGUCGACGAGCUCGGCUCCGAUUCAGAGAAAACGCUGAUGUUCUGACAGAGCGACUUCGACGGUGAUUAUCUCCCAAACCAGAGCGAAUUAGGAGAUGAUGCAGUUGACAAAGUUGGAGUUCCAAUCGAGAUCUACAACAUUGUCAACUAGAGCAAAAUCCAGAUCGGCCUAGAUUGAUAGAUAUAGAGUUUUCAAAACCGAUCGAGCAAACUGUUAAAGCCAGGACAGCCAAAAUCGACUAAGUGCCAAAACAGCACCCAAAUCGGCCUUUCAAGCACCUUUUGGACAAGUUGUGAUCAUUUUAAUGAGAUGGCCAUAAAACAACUUUUGUUCCUUAUAAAAUUUUCUACAACUUUGCCAUAGAAAGUUUUGACAUGCAAACAUUUUAUGAAACACUUUUUAAAAGCCUAAGAAAAAGAGCUUUCUAGAGCCUAUUUGUGUAAGCAUGACUUAAGUGAUUAUUUUGGAGAAGUGAUCAACAUGAACAUUGUUCCCAAGGUUAAGUUAAGCAUAAAUAAACUAUUUAACAAGGCAUAAAGCAUAAACACAAGCAUGGUUCACUCAAACAUAAGCAUAGGAAACCUAUUUAAGCAAUUUAAAUCACAUUGUUGCAUAGAAAGGUAUGACUCAAGGUAGAUGAUGUUCAUGACAUGCUUGAGUAGAUGAUGAUGCUUAUGCUAUUGUUGACACCGUUUUUGGGCACGUGUCUGGGAUGGCAGGAUAAGGUGACAGUAUGAUGUUUACAAAGAGGGAUGCCGAUGAGGGAGAGGUUGAACGUGAUUAAGUCCACAGGCAGUAAUAUGGUGCCGAUGGCUAGAUAAGAAAGUCUGCCGAUGGCUAUGGCAAAGGGUCUGCCGAUGAUGCAAAGAGGGAGUCCGGGAGCUGCCGGUCGUUAUGUGGAGGAGUUUCGGUUUGUCACGAGGGAUAGUUUUGUUAUUUCCUUAAUUAUUUGCAUCGUUUUGUAUACGGAUUCCGUGUAAUUUGGAAUUCGAAUUCUAAUCGUGUCUAGUUGUAGCUCUUUGAGCAGGGUAUAAAUGUAGACCCUAGGGCCUUGUAAUAGAUAAUCAAUCAAGAAAUCAAUCAAACACACGUUUUUACUCAUAUUCCAGCAUUUACUUUUCGACGACUUCGUCAUACUUUUUCCUUUUGUUACGAGUUCUUAGGAAUUCGUCGACUUAAGCUCGACGUGUUCUCAAGUUCCGCAUGAGUACCUCUUAGCCGUGACAUCCGGGCGCAUCGCUGUUGUCAGGACUAAAGUAUUCGAGUUAUCACCUUUGCCGAUAGCAAGGUCAAAUCGGCUGGCACGCCUUAACGUUUGAAUCGGGUAUUAGCCCUUUGUGUUUGCAGAUCAGUUUUGCAUCAACACAUCUUUUGGCACGCCCGGUGGGACAAGAUUCAAGAUCAAGAUCAACAUGUCGAUCUCCGACCUCGAUCAAGAAAACGUCAUCCCCGUGACGGAGGCCAACCUCAAGGAUGAGCAGAAGCAAGCUAUUGCCCAAGCCAUGGAAGAGUUCAAGCAGCAAUGCCUGAGGUCUUUCAGCAUAAACAGGAGCGGCGAAGUGGUCCAGAAAGAUGCACUGCCGGCACCACGGCAGGUCACCUUUGACGCCAAUCCUGGCAAGCUUCAAGAUAUGGUUGACAAUGCCAUCAAUCGAGCGUUGAUUAACCAAGCUGGUGUACUGUCUAAUACGGUUUUCAAUGCCGUGGCAAGAACUUUCAAGGAAGGACAAAUCCCACCAGAUUAUGUGGGCCCCUCCCAUCAUCAGCCAACGGCACCAGAGGUCACGGCUCCAUCGGCUGCCUUGACGAAUGCAAGUGCACAAUCUGCCGUCCCUCCAAGUACAUCGGGGACUACUGGUGCACUAUCUAUGCCGAUGGCAACCAACCCACAAAUUUCAGUUGGGCAGCAUAAACUGACAACAGAUAUGUUGGCAUCGGCAAUGUCAGGGUUGACUCUUCCUCCCAACUGGUGGGGUUACGGUAUGCCUCCAGAGUUGACGCCGGGAACAUCACAAAUAACUGACAUGAGGGGCAAAACUCCUAUGACAUCGGCACCUCCCAAUGCGCCGGUGAACCAGAGUCCUCGGUAUACCACAACUACUACUGCAAGGCCUCACACUGGAAAUCCUCAAGAUUCAAUGUUCCAGAUGCCCAACGCAUCGGCAGAGUCAAUGCUGAUGCAACAGAGGCCUAUGGCCCAGUCGGGGUAUGUCAAUUCAACGACGGUACCCAAUUACCAAUCAUCGGCAGCACCUAUGCCGAUGAACGCUAAUAAUGGAUGGCUUGGACAGCAAGCCUUUCCACAUUCGCCCCAGCAGAGUUACCAGACUACAGGGUUCCAGCAAGGGCAGGUCUAUCCCGGGUUCCAAGGUCAGGGGAUUCCCAACCAGCCAAUGAAUUUUGGACAGCAACUCGGAGGACAGCCAAUCGGUGGACAGCAGUUUGGUCGUCCGCAGAUUGGAGGACAGGUGAUCAAUACAAUGUUCCGCGCAGAUCACGUCCCCAACAGACACGUGGAGGUUCGCCACCAAGUACCAGAUCCGCAGCCGCCUCAUCGGCAAGAUGCCAAUGCAUAUUGGGCCGAUAAAAUUGCUGAAGUAAUGAGGGAACAAUUUGGGAUAAAACCCAAAGUCAACACUUACUCUUAUCGGACACCGUAUCCUCCCGCGUAUGAUUUGAUCCCGCUUCCACAUCGGUACAAGGUACCGGAUUUUACAAAGUUUUCCGGACAGGACGACACGUCAACCAUGGAGCAUGUCAACAGGUUCAUUAUUCAAUGUGGAGAAGCUGCUAACCGGGACGAGUUAAGGGUUCGAUUGUUCUCGUCAUCAUUGUCUGGAUCGGCCUUUACUUGGUUCAUAUCGUUACCUCCUAAUUCAGUAAUUACUUGGGCCGAUCUAGAGAAGCAAUUCCACAAAUACUUCUUUUCCGAAGUCCAUGAGAAGAAGAUCACCGAUUUGGUCAGGUUGAAGCAACGCAAUAAUGAAUCGGUUGAGAGCUUUGUACAGAGAUUGUGGGAGGUCAAGAACAAUUGCUAUAGCCUGGUUCUCGAUGAUCGGCAGUUAGCCGAUUUGGCUUUCCAGGGUUUGUUGCCACACAUAAGGGACAAGUAUGCAUCUCAGGAGUUCGAAAGUUUAAGUCAUUUGGUGCAGAGAAUUUCUGAUCAAGACAUCAAGCCUUUUGAGCCUAAGAGAGCAUGGAAUAAGAAAGUGUCAUUUGUCGAUGAAGCAACAAGCUCAGAUUCUGAUGAAGAACCAGUAAUCGGUUUGGCAGAGUGGGUAAAAAACAAGAAGCCGAUGUCUUGUCCUUUUGGGCAGAAGGAACCAGAGAAGUUUGCUUUUGACACCGCUAAGGCUGAUAGGAUAUUUGACUUUCUACUUCAGGAAGGUCAGAUCAAACUGUCACCUAACCAUGUGAUCCCAUCGGCAGAAGAGUUGAAGAGGAUGAGAUAUUGCAAGUGGCAUAAUGCAGAUGACACCAACGAGUGCAAAGUAUUCAGACAGCAGCUGCAAUCGGCUAUAGAGUCAGGGAGUAUCAAGUUUGACAGUUCUAAAGCCCAGAAGCCGAUGAAGAUAGACCAACAUCCUUUCCCGACAAACAUGUUGGAUGCUAAGGGGAAGGCUAAGGUCUUAACAUCGGAGACAGCUGAGAAGAGUGCAUCGGUAGCUCCUCAGCAUCAAGUUACUACUGCCGAUGCAAGAAGUAAGGGCUUGGUCCAGGAAGGAACUAGCUCAGGAAGGCUUCCUCGAUCUGGUAUUGUCAUAACUCAUAGAAGGCCUCGAGAAAAAUGGCAACAACGGGAAGAUCGGUAUCGGCGCCAGCAGGAAGAUUAUCGACGGGAAGAAGAAAGACGCUGACAGGAGUGGAAUCGGCACAGGGAUCAUUGGAAUUGUCCAUUCUUCAUCCAUUGUUGGGAGGAGAAUAUCAAGCUUCCUACUGUCAGAGACUACCCUGAGUGCAACGGUUAUGAUCGGUACGAUAGGAUCGAUCGGCAUUAUCAUAAUGAUGAACGGCGAUUUAAUGGGCCGAUCAGAGGAAGGGUGUCAGUUCAUGACCGGCUGGGGGGCAGAUAUAGCGGGCAUGACAGACUUAGUGACCAUGUCCAGUAUUUUCCCAGGAACCAAGAAGAGCUCGAGGGAAUGGCUGAUGCGCGGGUUCCCGAUGAAUUCAUAUUUUGCAGGGAUGCUAACACGCAUCGUAUGGAGUCAAGGGAGAACCGACGCCUGACGGCAAGGCAAAGGCCACUUCCUCCAUGGUGCCCUGGAGGAUUCACCAAGACACAGAAAAGGAGAUUGCAACGUGAAAGGCAAGAAGAGCUAAACAAGGGAGAGAACUCUGGAAGUCGGCAGCCGUCAGACACUAAGAGGGAAGGUCCAUCGGCAGGCGUCAACAUGGUCUUCAUGUUGCCGAUGGAGUUUCUUGCACCAGGCAGUGAUGAUGAGUUGGAAUUUUCUUAUCAGAUAGCUCAGUUGGCUCUGGAUCCGAUGACGGCUAUCUUUGAGAAACCUGCCGAUGACGAGAGGCAGCAUCUUAAAGCUCUGUUCCUCAAAGGAAGGGUUGAUGGGCAGCCAAUGACCAAGAUCCUAGUUGAUGGUGGAGCUGCUAUUAAUAUUAUGCCGUAUGCAGUAUAUCGGAAGCUUGGGAAAGGGGAUCAAGAUUUGACCAAGACCGAUAUGAUGCUCAAAGACUUUGAAGGAAACGUGUCUCCAGUCAAGGGGGCGAUAUGUGCAGAGUUGACCAUCGGCAGCAAAACCUUGCCGACAACUUUUUUCGUGAUCAGCGGAAAAGGUGCUUACAACUUAUUAUUGGGAAGAGAUUGGAUUCAUGCCAAUUGUUGUAUCCCAUCUACAAUGCAUCAGUGCUUGGUUCAGUGGGUAGGUGACAAGAUUGAGAUUGUCCCAGGAGAUUCUUCUUAUGUUAUCGCGUCGGCAGAAGCGGAUACUUACGAAAGGACCAGGUGCAUUUCAGGAGAAGUUUGGGAGAAAGAUUUUCUCAAAGUUGCCGAUUAUGAGAUUCCACCGAUCCAAGCAGUCGGUUCUGACGACGGUUUUUAAUGGAUAGAUUCGCCGAUGAUGGAAAAUUAGGCCAGGGAUUCACAUCGGCCGAUGAUUUGGUAGAAGUAGAUAUAGGUAGUGGUGAUAAGCCUAGGCCUACUUUUAUUAGUGCUAAAUUAGAUCCUGAGAGUAAGCAACAAUUGACUAGUUUGUUAAAGGAAUAUAAAGAUUGCUUUGCUUGGGAUUAUACUGAGAUGCCUGGUUUAGACCGAUCGAUUGUUGAACAUCGGUUACCCAUCAAGUCUGGAUUUCGGCCACAUCAGCAACCAGCCCGCCGAUGUAAUCCUAACAUUCUACCUGAUAUUAAGGCCGAAAUCACCAAACUUAUUGAAGCUAAGUUUAUUCGGCAGUGUCGGUAUGCCGAGUGGAUUUCCAAUGUUGUUCCGGUUUACAAGAAGAACGGGAAGCUUCGGGUGUGCAUUGAUUUCAGGAGUCUCAAUAAAGCUACGCCGAUGGAUGGAUACCCGAUGCCUGUCGCCGAUCUACUGGUUGAUGCUGCGGCUGGUCAUCAGACCAUCAGCUUCAUGGAUGGUAAUGCAGGUUACAAUCAAAUAUUCAUGGCGGAGGAGGAUAUUCCAAAAACCGCAUUCAGGUGUCCUGGUCAUGUUGGGCUAUUUGAGUGGAUAGUCAUGACUUUUGGGUUGAAGAAUGCUGGUGCUACUUAUCAAAGGGCUAUGAAUUUUAUAUUUCAUGAGUUCAUCGGCAAGCUCGUGGAGAUUUAUAUUGAUGAUGUGGUGGUUAAGUCUGGAGAUUUCUCAAAGCAUCUUGCCGAUUUACAAAAAGUGUUAGAGUGCACAAGGAAGCAUGGAUUGAAGAUGAAUCCCAACAAGUGUGCAUUUGGUGUAUCGGCAGGGCAGUUUCUUGGUUUCAUGGUACAUCAGAGGGGUAUUGAAAUUAGUCGAAGAUCUAUUGAUGCCAUCAAUAAAAUAGUGGCCCCUACCAACAAAACCGAGCUCCAAUCCUUGAUCGGCAAGGUGAAUUUUAUCAGGAGAUUUAUAUCGAAUUUAUCUGGUAGGAUUCGUGCUUUCAGUCCUCUUCUUAAAUUGAAAGCCGAUCAAGAGUUUAUUUGGGGAGAAGAACAGCAGUUGGCUCUAGAUGAAAUCAAGAAGUAUCUAGUAAAUCCUCCAGUUCUAGUUCCACCUCAACAAGGGAAGCCCUUCAGAUUGUAUUUAUCUACCGAUGGAUCGGUUAUCGGUUCAGCUUUAGUUCAAUAAUUUGAAGGGAAAGAAAGGGUAAUUUAUUAUUUGAGUAGGAGGUUGAUUGAUGCUGAAACCAGGUAUUCGGCCAUUGAGAAACUAUGCUUAUGCUUAUAUUUUUCAUGUAUCAAGCUGAGACAUUACCUGUUAUCGGCCGAAUGCACUGUUGUUUGCAAAGAUGACGUGGUCCGAUACAUGCUAUCUAUGCCGAUUAUGAGUGGUAGGAUCGGUAAAUGGAUUUUAGCGCUGUCGGAGUUCGAUUUGCGUUACGAAUCGGCUAAGGCAAUCAAAGGGCAGAUUAUGGCCGAUUUUGUGACUCAGCAUUGCGGUCUAGUGGAAACCUUGGAAAUUGUACCCUAGACGCUCUUCUUUGAUGGAUCUACCUGUGACCGGGGGGCAGGAAUCGGCAUUGUAUUAGUUUCCCCUAAGGGGAGGAAGUAUGAGUUUUCCUUGCCGAUUGUUGCCACAUCAACAAAUAAUCAGGCUGAGUAUCAGGCUCUGAUCAAGGGAUUGGAGUUGUUAAGAGAAGUUCGUGCUGAUGCUGUUGAAAUAUUCGGGGAUUCUAUGUUGGUUAUAAAUCAAUUGGCCGGAAGCUAUGAAUGCCGAAGUGAAGUUCUCAUAACUUAUUUCGAGAGAAGUAUGCAACUGUUAAAGGAAUUCAAGGAUUUCCGAUUGGAGCAUGUUCCCCGAUUGCAUAAUGAAGACGCUAAUCGGUUAGCUCAGCAUGCCUCGGGAUAUCAGCCAAUGAUUAAUGCGACAUCGGCAGUCGGUGCCGGUGAUUGGAGGAAAGAAAUUAUUGAUUAUCUAAAAGAUCCAUCCAAAAAAGUUGAAAGACGGGUUCGAUUUCAAGCAACCAAGUAUGUGUUCCUUGAAAAUGAAUUGUAUUAUCGAACUAUCGACGGAAUUCUUCUCCGAUGCUUGGGCGACGAUGAGGCUAGAAGUUUGAUGGGGGAAAUCCAUGAAGGAGUGUGUGGAGCGCAUCAGUCAGCUUUUAAGAUGAAGUGGAUGAUUCGAAGGAAUGGAUAUUUUUGGCCAACCAUACUUGAAGAUUGUUUUAAAUAUUUCAAGGGAUGUCAAAGUUGUCAAAAGUUUGGUAAUAUCCAGAGAGCACCCGCAUCGGCUAUGAAUCCUAUAAUAAAGCCUUGGCCGUUCCGGGGAUGGGCCAUCGAUCUGAUCGGCCAGAUUUAUCCACCAUCUAGCAAAGGGCAUAAGUUCAUUCUAGUUGCCACUGACUAUUUCACUAAGUGGGUUGAAGCUAUUCCUUUGAAGAAAGUCACAUCGGCCAAUAUGAUUGAUUUUGUGAAGGAGCAUAUUAUUUACCGAUUCGGAAUUCCCCAAACGAUUACUACCGAUCAGGGCACCAUGUUCACAUCGGGGGAGUUCGAUGAAUUCGCAAUCGGUAUGGGAAUUAAAGUGUUGAAUUCUUCUCCUUAUUAUGCUCAAGCCAAUGGGCAGGCCGAAGCGUCUAACAAAGGAAUUAUCAAGCUUAUUAAACGAAAGAUUGAAGAAAAUCCUAAGCGGUGGCAUACAUUAUUAAAUGAAGCAUUGUGGUCUUAUCGGAUGGCUUGUCAUGGAUCGACCAAGGUAUCACCCUAUCAAUUGGUGUAUGGACAUGAUGCAGUGUUGCCUUGGGAAAUUAAGGCUGGAUCUAGGCGAUUAUCUUUUCAAGAUCAAUUAACUUCCGAUGGUUAUGCCACUUUGAUGACCGAUGAAUUGGACGAUCUAGCAGGGCAUCGGUUAAAAGCUUUAAUGAGUAUAGAAGAAAAUAAGAAGAGAGUUGCUAGAUGGUAUGAUAAGAAAGUGAAGACUAAAGAGUUUGCCGAUGGGGAUUUGGUAUGGAAAUUAAUUUUACCAAUUGGGACCAAAAGUUCGAAGUUUGGAAAGUGGUCUCCUAAUUGGGAGGGUCCUUAUCGGAUAAGUCGAUCGGCCCCUGGUAAUGCCUACAUUCUAGAAACCCUCGAAGGAAUUGAAUUUCCCAGAGUAUUAAACGGCAAAUAUUUAAAGAAGUACUACCCCAGUAUAUGGGUCGAUGCAUAGAAGCUUAGGUGCCGAUAACACUCCUAUCGGCUGGAUCCAAAUGCUUGGUGUGUCAAAAGUUUAGGCGCCGAUAACAGUCCUAUCGGCUAGACUAAAAGCUGAGGAAGCAAGAAAGCGCAGAUACAAUGUCGAUGGAAACUCUAUGUGUUAAGCAGCGUCUGGAUUGCCGAUAUAGCACGUAGCCGAAUUUAGUUGGCUGCUUCUAUCUCCUUGAUGUCAUCAUCGGUAGAACCUUCUAUCGGCUUCAGCUUCUUCUUCAGUUGGAGUGCUUUGCGACCAUGAGCAUUCCGCUCGCGCUCAAGAAGCCUGAUGGUCUCUGGCAAUUGGCUCUCUUCCUGUUGGACUUGGGACAGAGCGUUCUCUACUUCCUUGAGCUCCGCCAACAGGGACACUUUUCUUGCCGAUAGAUCGGAUAUCUUCUGCUUCAGCGCGUCCCCAGAAGAUCUCAGGAUACCGAUGUUCUUGUGCUUCUCAUCGGUCAAAAGCUUCUCUUUCCUCAUUUCAUCGGAGAGUUGAGUCUGAGCGGCUCUAUCGGCAAGCCGCCGAGAAGCUCUUUGGUACUGCAGCUGGCGACUCUCCAGAUGAGCGGCUUGGAACAGGAUUUCUUCAACAUCGGCUGGGAUUUGGCCUCUGAGAGUUCUGAACAGGGUCUUGGUAGGGUCGGAAUCAUCAACCAAUUGCGCUGUGUCCUGGUGAAGGAGAGCUGACAAUUCUUCCAGCCUGACCCUGAUCUCUGCCGAUGUGAUGCCGACCGUCUGAGAAGAGCUUGCUUCUUCACCUUCUUCUUCAGAGAGAUCGAUGGCAAAGGAGAACAGGCUAUCGGGAGAAUCUUGUUCCUGGGAGGGAAAGCAAAAUUAGCUCAUACUCAGAGAAUCGGCAAAUAAUGCUAACGGUAAACGGUGACUUACUUGCUUCAAGGCGAUCUCUUGUCUUUGACUGAGAAGUACUGACGGAGCUACAGGCUGAUCGGCCAAAGAUGCCGAUGGAGCUACAUGUUGAUCGGCUGAGAUUGCCGAUGGAACAAUAUCAACUGAAAGAAGACAAAAGGAGUUAUGAGACUAAAUAAGAAUAAGUUCAUCGGUAGCGAUAUUGUUAAAGUAUGUUACCUGGAGGAGGGACAACGGUUGUCUGAACCGGGAGAACUGCCGAUGGUAUAACUGGACUCACCGGGCCAGUUGUUUGUUCACCCAUGUCAACUGAUGUAUCUUCUGUUUGAGAUCCUUCCUGUUGGGGUUCUUCUAUCUGUGGUGCUUCCUGCAUAGGUGGGGGAGAUGGUGCUUGCUGUGGCUGGGCUUCUGGAGAAGAAGGAGAAGAUUCCACCGGAAUUGGAGAUACCGGAGGAGGAGGCGGGAUUGCUACCUUCUGGCGCUUUGUUCCAGUCUUAGCACCCGUGGUGCCC